rnacentral:tRNA from 1 species
ACAUCAAUGAGUUUGCAACUCAACAUGAAUUUCACCACAGGGUU